GAUGAAGAACGCAGCAAAAUGCGAUAAGUAAUGUGAAUUGCAGAAUUCAGUGAAUCAUCGAAUCUUUGAACGCACAUUGCGCCCGGUAGUAUUCUGCCGGGCAUGCCUGUUCGAGCGUCAUUUCAACCAUCAAGCCCCAGCGCUUGUGUUGGGGGCCUGCGGCUGCCGCAGCCCCCUAAAAGCAGUGGCGGGCUCGCUAUCACACCGAGUGCAGUAGUUCAUCUUCUCUCCGGUCUUGUGAGGCGGGUUCCGGCCGUGAAACACCCCACUACAUUUCAAGGUUGACCUCGGAUCAGGUAGGAAUACCCGCUGAACUUAAGCAUAUCAAUAAGCGGAGGA
rnacentral:misc_RNA from 1 species